rnacentral:lncRNA from 1 species
UUCUCUGGAUGAUUCAUAUUCCUUACAUAAGAUUUCAGUAUUUGAAUAUUUCUCUCGAUGGGGUACAUCCAUCGACAAAAUAUUGGGCCUCCAAAUGCAACUUCUCCUGCAAGGUAUACGGUAAUAUGCAUCAUAACUAUAAAAAAUGAUAGUGAAAAUAUCUUCUCCAAAUUAUAUAAUAUAGUUACCAUCCUUACCUUCAUUUCCUUCACGUCUUUCUUAAGUAAUCUCUUCGCACAA